GCGACAAGUGACUGCGGAGGACAUUACCUUUCAUGCAGCAGAAUUGGGAUGGUUGAGUAUCUCGCCUCUCCGUUCUGCCUGUAUUCUACCCUUGUUUGUCAUAUACUAUUAUUUCCUCGGCAGGCUUGCCUGCCGAGUGAAACCAUUUAUAACCUUUUUAAUUUUCAAUCAGCGUCUGAAAAAAAUUAAUAAUUACAACUUUCAACAACGGAUCUCUUGGUUCUGGCAUCGAUGAAGAACGCAGCGAAAUGCGAUAAGUAGUGUGAAUUGCAGAAUUCAGUGAAUCAUCGAAUCUUUGAACGCACAUUGCGCCCCUUGGUAUUCCAUGGGGCAUGCCUGUUCGAGCGUCAUUUGUACCUUCAAGCUUUGCUUGGUGUUGGGUGUUUGUCCCGAGGGACUCGCCUUAAAGUAAUUGGCAGCCAGUGUUUGGUUUUGAAGCGCAGCACAAGUCGCGAUUCAAGGCUACACGCCCGCUUCCACAAGCCUUUUUUUCACUUUUGACCUCGGAUCAGGUAGGGAUACCCGCUGAACUUAAGCAUAUCAA
rnacentral:rRNA from 1 species